rnacentral:ncRNA from 3 species
GCAAAGCACACGGCCUGCAGAGAGC